ACUAACAAGGAUUCCCCUAGUAACUGCGAGUGAAGCGGGAAAAGCUCAAAUUUAAAAUCUGGUGGCCUUUGGCCUCCGAGUUGUAAUUUAGAGAAGCGUCUUCCGCGCUGGACCAUGCACAAGUCUCCUGGAAUGGAGCGUCAUAGAGGGUGAGAAUCCCGUCUUUGGCAUGGACACACCAGGGCUUUUGUGAUGCGCUCUCGAAGAGUCGAGUUGUUUGGGAAUGCAGCUCAAAAUGGGUGGUGAACUCCAUCUAAAGCUAAAUAUUGGCGAGAGACCGAUAGCGAACAAGUACCGUGAGGGAAAGAUGAAAAGCACUUUGGAAAGAGAGUGAAACAGUACGUGAAAUUGUUGAAAGGGAAACGCUUGAAGUCAGUCGCGUCGACCGAGACUCAGCCUUGCCUCGGCUUGGUGUACUUCUCGGCUUGACGGGUCAGCAUCAAUUUUGCCCCUUGGAUAAUGGUGAGGGAAAUGUGACACCUUUACGGUGUGUUAUAGUCUCUCGUCGCAUGCAAGGGUUGGGAUUGAGGAACUCAGCACGCACCUUCGGGUGUCGGGGCUUUGCCUACGAUACGUGCUUAGGAUGUUGGCGUAAUGGCUUUAAACGACCCGUCUUGAAACACGGACCAAGGAGUCUAACAUGCCUGCGAGUGUUCGGGUGGAAAACCCGUGCGCGCAAUGAAAGUGAAAGUUGGGACCUCUGUCGUGGAGGGCACCGACGCCUGGACCAGACCUUCUGUGACGGCUCUGCGGUAAAGCAUGUAUGUUAGGACCCGAAAGAUGGUGAACUAUGCCUGAAUAGGGUGAAGCCAGAGGAAACUCUGGUGGAGGCUCGUAGCGAUUCUGACGUGCAAAUCGAUCGUCAAAUUUGGGUAUAGGGGCGAAAGACUAAUCGAACCAU
rnacentral:rRNA from 1 species